rnacentral:rRNA from 1 species
UACGUAGGUGACAAGCGUUGUCCGGAUUUACUGGGCGUAAAGAGCGCGCAGGCGGUCGAUCAAGUCGAGUGUGAAAGCCCCCGGCUCAACUGGGGAGGGUCACGCGAUACUGAUCGACUCGAAGGCAGGAGAGGGUAGUGGAAUUCCCGGUGUAGUGGUGAAAUGCGUAGAUAUCGGGAGGAACACCAGUGGCGAAGGCGACUACCUGGCCUGCUCUUGACGCUGAGGCGCGAAAGCUAGGGGAGCAAACGGG